rnacentral:rRNA from 1 species
ACUCAAAUGAAUAGACGGGGACCCGCACAAGCGGUGGAGGAUGUGGUUUAAUUCGACGCAACGCGAAGAACCUUACCAAGGUUUGACAUCUAGCGAAUCUGCUGGAAACAGUGGAGUGCCCGAAAGGGAGCGCUAAGACAGGUGGUGCAUGGCUGUCGUCAGCUCGUGUCGUGAGAUGUUGGGUUAAGUCCCGCAACGAGCGCAACCCUCGAUGUUAGUUACCAUCAUUAAGUUGGGGACUCUAACGUGACUGCCGGUGAUAAGCCGGAGGAAGGUGAGGACGACGUCAAGUCAUCAUGCCCCUUACAUCUUGGGCUACACACGUCCUACAAUGGCAUAGACAAAGGGCUGCAAGUCAGUGAUGGCAAGCGAAUCCCAUAAACUAUGUCUCAGUUCGGAUUGCAGGCUGCAACUCGCCUGCAUGAAGUCGGAAUCGCUAGUAACCGUAGAUCAGCACGCUACGGUGAAUACGUUCCCGGGUCUUGUACACACCGCCCGU